UACGUAGGGGGCGAGCGUUGUCCGGAUUCAUUGGGCGUAAAGCGCGCGUAGGCGGCCCCGCAAGUCGGCCGUGAAAUCUCCGGGCUCAACUCGGAGGGGUCGGGCGAGACUGCGGGGCUCGAGGUGGGCAGAGGGCAGUGGAAUUCCGGGUGUAGUGGUGGAAUGCGUAGAGAUCCGGAGGAACACCAGUGGCGAAGGCGGCUGCCUGGGCCUGGCCUGACGCUGAGGCGCGAAAGCGUGGGGAGCAAUCCGG
rnacentral:rRNA from 2 species